UUAGAAAGUUAAUUGAAUAGAGCUCAUUAUAAAUUUCUAUCAAUAUUCUGUAAAAUAUUCAGCGUUGGAAAACUGUACUCGCGACGCAGGAUCCCAAUUACACCGAGCACGAAAGUGUGACGUUACAAACCUAUCAAAUGUGGAGCUAGAGCGAGCCGAGACGAGAGAUGUUCUGUGCGUGUAUCUGUUUAUUGUAGCAAUUAAUAUCCAUUUCAAGGACUGUGUUCGAUAACGUCGAAGGACUAAACCGAUUUCUGUUUGGAACUACUGGAGAAUUGCGAUAGACAUACAUUAGACUUUAGUUAGACUCAGUUUUGUGUAUAAUAAGUAUAGCAACAGGAGGGAAAGAAGUGGCCUAUGACGAGCAGAAGAAAGAAGGAAAAGAUAAAGAUCAGGAAGAAGAAAAGCUAAAGACCUUUAUAGAGAAAUAAAAAAAGGUAGAGCAGGAACAGACCAAAGAUGUCAAAGCAGCUGCACUCCAUACCAGACAGAAGACAGCACAGAUAUGAAAAAUGAACAUCUCAAGCACCCAAAAGAAUUGAGAAAAGACUGGAAAAUCUGGAAAAGAAACAAGCAACCUCUACUAAUCCCAGUUUUGGUUACAAACGAUCCAGACGGUUAAGAACCUGUGCAGAUUUUACUGGUGAUGGUGGAGAAGCAAGGCAACUUGCUAUUAACAAUUUGUGUGUACAUUGUUCUUUUCCUGUGAAGACAACUAAUAGGUUUCGUAUACAUUUAGAAUCAAAUGAAGUGAAAUUCAUCUGAAUAAUAGACGAAUCAGUAGGGACUUUUAUAAUAGAGCAGCUGAUUAACUUCCGGACAGGGAUGGGGUCAAUUACAAUGGAAAGUAAUUAAUUAAAUUACAAUUACUUGCUUAAAUUCUUCAAUUAAAUUACCAUUAGCAUUACAAGAGAUUUCAAAUGUAAUUAAUUAAAUUGCAAUUACUUUGCAAAAGUAAUUAAUUAAAUUACAAAUUACAUUUUCAUCAAAAUUUACUAAAUCCAUGAUUUAUCUACAACACAUAAACAUGUA